AGAGUUUGAUCCUGGCUCAGGAUGAACGCUAGCGGCAGGCUUAAUACAUGCAAGUCGAACGGUUACAGCAAUGUGACGAGUGGCGCACGGGUGAGUAACGCGUACAUAACAUACCUUUAACUGGCGAAUAGCCUUGGGAAACUGAGAGUAAUACGCCAUAACAUUGUAGCUUGGCAUCAGGCAGCAAUUAAAGUUCCGGCGGUUAGAGAUUGAUGUGCGUUGGAUUAGAUAGUUGGUGAGGUAACGGCUCACCAAGUCAACGAUCCAUAGGGGGCGUGAGAGCGUGGUCCCCCACACGGGUACUGAGACACGGACCCGACUCCUACGGGAGGCAGCAGUAAGGAAUAUUGGUCAAUGGGGGCAACCCUGAACCAGCCAUGCCGCGUGCGGGAUGAAGGCGUUCUGCGUCGUAAACCGCUUUUAGAGGGGAAUAAAUCCCGAUACGUGUAUCGGACUGAAGGUACCCUCGGAAUAAGCACCGGCUAACUCCGUGCCAGCAGCCGCGGUAAUACGGAGGGUGCAAGCGUUAUCCGGAAUCACUGGGUUUAAAGGGUGCGUAGGCGGUUUUGUAAGUCGGUAUUGAAAGUUUGCAGCUCAACUGUGAAAUUGGUAACGAUACUGCAAGACUUGAAUCA
rnacentral:rRNA from 1 species